GCACCUAUAGCUCAGUUGGAUAGAGCACAACUUUGCGGAAGUUGGGGUCAGAAGUUCGAGUCUUCUUAGGUGCGCCA
rnacentral:tRNA from 1 species